rnacentral:lncRNA from 1 species
AAGUCUCAGCACCGGCCCACCCAAAGAUUCUGGCCCAAUUCCAUUGCUGCUGGAGUCCUGCAGCAGCAGGGUGGCACCCCAGGGACGAACCCUGAUGGUUCCAUCAACUUGGACAACCUGCAGUCCCUGUCCUCAGACAAUGCCACCAUGGCCAUGCAGCAGGCAAUGAUGGCUGCCCAUGAUGACUCCUUGGAUGGGACAGAAGAAGAGGAUGAAGAUGAUAUGGAGGAGGAGGAAGAGGNAGAAGGAGGAGCUGGAAGGAGGA